rnacentral:rRNA from 1 species
UACGGAGGGAGCUAGCGUUGUUCGGAAUUACUGGGCGUAAAGCGCACGUAGGCGGCUUUGUAAGUUAGAGGUGAAAGCCCGGGGCUCAACUCCGGAACUGCCUCUAAGACUGCAUCGCUUGAAUCCAGGAGAGGUGAGUGGAAUUCCGAGUGUAGAGGUGAAAUUCGUAGAUAUUCGGAAGAACACCAGUGGCGAAGGCGGCUCACUGGACUGGUAUUGACGCUGAGGUGCGAAAGCGUGGGGAGCAAACGGG